CUUGUACCGGAACACGGUUUCUUGUACCGGUACAAGGACCAAAAUGUGAAAAAAAAAUUUCGAAAAAUAUCCUUUAAAAACCCAUCAAAUUUAAAUUAAAUUCAUAUAAUUAAGGCUUUUACUCCAAAAAUCAUUAUAAUGAAAAUAAGAUAUUAUAAGAUUUCAAAAUUCAUCAACACAUCAAAAUUUCAUUAUCAAAAAUAGUCUAAUGAUUCAAAAUCAUCAAGAUAUAAGUUGAUGAAAAACGAUUUUUUAGAAAUUCAACAAAAAAUUGACACCAAUUUGUCGUAACACGUUCAAAAUAGAAAGUUAACUAAUAUGAUACCAGGGGUGGCUCUUUGAGCAUCUUUUUCAAACUAGCACCUUAUUACUCCGAAAAUUCUAAAAUAUUUAUAUUUUUCCAACCUUUUUCGACUUUUUCAAUUAAAUUCCAUGUGGUAGCUUCACACACUUGCCGGACGACCGGGGUGGUAACUCUUUCCUACAUGUGGUGGUAGUUUUCACACUCCUUUUGGAUGUAACUCUUUCCACAUCUUUUUAAACAUAGGAGUAUCUUUUUUCUUUUCUUUUAUUUUUAAACAAUUUCACAAUCCCCCUAAAUUAGACAGUCUCACAAUUGAAGAUAAUUUUGACGAAUUUUAGUCAAUU
rnacentral:lncRNA from 1 species